UGUCUUGUAAUUGGAAUGAUGGUGACUUAAACCCUCACCAGAGUACCAAUUGGAGGGCAAGUCUGGUGCCAGCAGCCGCGGUAAUUCCAGCUCCAAUAGCGUAUAUUAAACUUGUUGCAGUUAAAAAGCUCGUAGUUGAAUUUCAGCGUUUCGCGUGUGCCUCUUUUGGCCCAUCUCGUCUCGCUUUUUUUAUUACUUUGAGAAAAUUAGAGUGUUUCAAGCAGGCUUUUGUCUUGAAUACUUGAGCAUGGAAUAAUAGAGUAGGACCUUGGUUCUAUUUUGUUGGUUUUGUUACCUUGGUAAUGGUUAAUAGGAACGGUUGGGGGCAUUCGUAUUUAACUGUCAGAGGUGAAAUUCUUAGAUUUGUUAAAGACGAACUACUGCGAAAGCAUUUGCCAAGGACGUUUCCAUUAAUCAAGAACGAAAGUUAGGGGAUCGAAGACGAUCAGAUACCGUCGUAGUCCUAACCAUAAACUAA
rnacentral:rRNA from 1 species